AGUGAGUAGUGUUGGGGGCACGUGUUCCAUUUCUUGCCAAUGAGAUGCAAGGGGGAGUAUUCAGGGAAACUUCUAGGGAGUUUUUGGUUUCUUGAGACAGUAGUGGCAGACUCAGUUGUGGCUGCUCCCUCAUCCUGCCUGGAAUUUGCGUGUGAUACUUGGAACAGCAGCAGCCAUCUUGCAACCAUGAGCCAUCCUAGAGGGCGUGAAGUGGUUCCUCAGUGUGAUUUUGACUUGCAUUUCCUUGAUGACUAAUGACGGUAAGCUUCUUUUCAUGUGGUUAUUAGCCAUUCACAGAUCUUCUUUGCAGAACUGUCUAUUCAAAUUCUUUAUCCAUUUCUAAUGGAAUAUUUGUCUUUUUGGUGUUAA
rnacentral:lncRNA from 1 species